rnacentral:rRNA from 1 species
ACGGAAGGCAGCAGUGGGGAAUAUUGCACAAUGGGGGAAACCCUGAUGCAGCGAUGCCGCGUGGAGGAAGAAGGUUUUCGGAUUGUAAACUCCUGUCUUAAAGGACGAUAAUGACGGUACUUUAGGAGGAAGCUCCGGCUAACUACGUGCCAGCAGCCGCGGUAAUACGUAGGGAGCGAGCGUUGUCCGGAUUUACUGGGUGUAAAGGGUGCGUAGGCGGGCUUGCAAGUCAGGCGUGAAAUACCGGGGCUUAACUCCGGGGCUGCGCUUGAAACUGUAAGUCUUGAGUGAAGUAGAGGCAGGCGGAAUUCCCAGUGUAGCGGUGAAAUGCGUAGAUAUUGGGAGGAACACCAGUGGCGAAGGCGGCCUGCUGGGCUUUAACUGACGCUGAGGCACGAAAGUAUGGGGAGCAAACAGGAUUAGAUACCCUGGUA